AAGUCGUAACAAGGUUUCCGUAGGUGAACCUGCGGAAGGAUCAUUAUCGAUUCAAACCAAAUGAGAGGGAAGUUGUUAUAGUAGUGCUGGCCUCUGUAAUGGAGGUAUUGUGCACGCUCGACUUCUUCCUUUCUUCAUUUACACACCUGUGAACUUGUUGUAGGGUUGUCUCGCAAGAGACGCUCUAUGUCUUUCUCAUAUACUCCAUAAUGUUUAUAGAAUGUACCUUUUUGCUCUCGUCAGAGACAAAAAUAAAGCCUUUAUAACUUUCAGCAACGGAUCUCUUGGCUCUC
rnacentral:misc_RNA from 1 species